rnacentral:rRNA from 1 species
GACGAACGCUGGCGGCGUGCUUAACACAUGCAAGUCGAACGGAGAGGCCCUGCUUUUGUGGGGUGCUCGAGUGGCGAACGGGUGAGUAACACGUGAGUAACCUGCCCUUGACUUUGGGAUAACUUCAGGAAACUGGGGCUAAUACCGGAUAGGAGCUCCUGCUGCAUGGUGGGGGUUGGAAAGUUUCGGCGGUUGGGGAUGGACUCGCGGCUUAUCAGCUUGUUGGUGGGGUAGUGGCUUACCAAGGCUUUGACGGGUAGCCGGCCUGAGAGGGUGACCGGCCACAUUGGGACUGAGGUACGGCCCAGACUCCUACGGGAGGCAGCAGUGGGGAAUAGUGCACACUGGGCGGAAGCCUGAUGCAGCAACGCCGCGUGCGGGAGGACGGCCUUCGGGUUGUAAACCGCUUUCGCCUGUGACGAAGCGUGAGUGACGGUAAUGUGUAAAGAAGCACCGGCUAACUACGUG